CUAUAGAGACCAACUCUUAGGGAAGUGGGAUGAGCCUUGUUGGAGCAACAUUGCAUUUGGAGCUAAAGGUCAUAGUCUCUAUAUUUGUUCUGAUGUGCUACAAGAAGAAGCUUUCCUGAUAAUGGUUGAGAAAGACACUGAUUGAUGACUGGUACUUUCUGUGACAAAGAUGCUAGAUCAUAAGGAGAAAGAUCCUACGUGGGCUCAACUUCUUCAUGUUCAAUGAAUUGUGAUGGGUUCUUGACAAUUUUUGGACAGCAAACUGUAGCAGCUUUACUUUUUGACAGCUUUCUUAAAUUAUAAGACUCAUGUCAUCUAUUCAAGAAGGGAAGUAUGAAUGAAUAGAGUAGGAAAAGAAACAGUUAUCAGAGUGAAGAGGAAACCUACAGAAUGGGAGAAAUGUUUGUAAACAACUCAUCUGAUAAAUUAUUAAUAUACAGCAUCUAUAAAGACUCAAAUGACUUAAAUGUAAGUUGACAAGGAUAACAAGAAUGCAUUUAAAAGCAGACUAGAAAACUGAACUGACAUUUCUCAAAUGAAUAUGCUUAUCAAAGCAGCAAUUGGAUGUUCACAGUGGUUAUAAGAAGUCAUGGGUAUGUUUAGAUUGGUGCUUUGUAGAUUUAUCUCAAUAUUAAAUUUCACACAUAUCAAAUUCAGGAGAAAAUGUAUACUUGAAGACUGAAUGCCUGACAAGGCUGAAAGGAACACUUGGCAAACACCCAAAGGCUUAAUCUUACCCAAUAUAGAAGUCACCCAGAUUAUGGGUCUGAAGAAUUCCCAAGGAAGAGAACCAAAUGCAGAAUACAGAUAAAAAGAUUUUAUCUUAUUAAUAUAAAUAUUGAUGUAAAAUGUCUCUUUGGACAGGGUGGACUCAUUUUCGUCUGGCACUUGUAGGGCUCCUGAAGGCCGCACAUGCAGAGCUUGUGUGGUCCAUUACCUGUCAAGCAUCGUCUCUCAUUCUUGAUCCAGGUUCGCUUCGCUUUAUCUCUGGAACACAGGCACCAGGUCAUUCAUGACAUCUGACAGAAACCACAGCACACUGAGAAAAUAAAAUGAAUUUUGA
rnacentral:lncRNA from 1 species